UACAGAGGUCUCAAGCGUUGUUCGGAUUCAUUGGGCGUAAAGGGUGCGUAGGCGGCGCGGUAAUUCGGUUGUGAAAUCUUGGAGCUUAACUCCGAAACUGCAUUCGAUACUGCCGUGCUUGAGGACUGGAGAGGAGACUGGAAUUUACGGUGUAGCGGUGAAAUGCGUAGAUAUCGUAAGGAAGACCAGUGGCGAAGGCGGGUCUCUGGACAGUGCCUGACGCUGAGGCACGAAGGUCAGGGGAGCAAACGGG
rnacentral:rRNA from 1 species